CAGGCUGGCCUCGAACUCACAGAGAUCCUCCUGCCCCUCCCUGCCAAGCACUGGGAUCAAAGGCGUGCGCUGCCACCGCCACCACCAUCACCCCACCUAAAAGCUUUCUUUUUUUCAAAAAUAGGUUGAGAUGUUUAAUUGUAGCUGUGAAGAACACAGAUCAAAACUAUCAAGAAAAAUUUUAUACAUCAAGUCAGGGUUGGUGUUUUCAUUUGGGGUUGUGAUUUGUAUUGUGAAGCAUUUGUUACAUACAAAAUACUUGAUAUCAUUAGUGUGGCAUUAUCAAUCACAUAUAGAACUUAUUGAGUGAUGUGUAUCUAGAAACCCACCAGACUUAAGACUGUCACAUGGCCACUCUGCAAGCUGUCCUUUGAAAAGUGACGUCCCCUUCUUUUCCUAUUAUUCUAAAUGUUAAAGACAAACCCCACCCCUACACAAUUAACAUGCUAACACUUGAGCAGGGUAUGGUAGCUAGGCCUUUAAUCUCAGCUCUUGGGAGACAGAGGCAGGUGGAUCUCUGUAGUUCAAGACCAGCCUGGUCUACAGAGUUCCCGAACAGCAAGGGCUAUGUAGAAAUACCCUGUCUAUAAAUGAGCAAAGAUGUGUUUAGUUACUACAUCAGAAUAUAUAAGGCUCCUUUAUUUGUUGUUUUUUUCUUUUAAGAGUGUGUGUACACACACACACACACACACACACACACACACACACACACACACACACGCACGCGCGCAGGCCAGAAGUGCCUGCAGAGGCUAGAAGAGGGCAUCAGAUCCCCUAGAGCUGGAGUUACAGAUGACUGUGACCUGUCUAACAUGAGUGCUCAGAAUCAAAUGCAUGUCCUCUGCAAGAGCAAUACACGCUCUUAACUACUGAGCCAUCUCUCUGACCCCCUUCUUACUCAGUUUUAUGUAUCAACUGAUAAAGCAUAUAAAGUACUUUGAGGCUUAACUUGCAGAAAAUCAACUAUGUUUGCAUAAAUAAAUGCAGGACCUAGCCUCUGGAGAUCAAGGUUCAUAGCCAUGUUCUGACCAAAGAGAAGUAGGAAAAAAUAUACACCAUGGAUGAGGAAGACAGGGAUAGACUCCACUGAACCUCAUCCUGCUCUCACCAAUUGCAGCUUCACACUGCACCCCCUUUUCCUCUCUAGGGGGACCCCUGUACUCCAGCUCUCCAAGAUGGUGCUCUGGGGACCAUACUUCUAUCUUCUCGGGACAAGUUUUGGAAUAGAUUUAAUUUUCUCCCUAUUGAUAUCGGUAUCUUGGAUUUUGGCUUUUGAGAACGAGCUGACCGAGUUGAGUCUGGUGAUGUAUGUGGCUUGAUGUAUGUAUGUUCAGCUGGUUGACUGAAGAACCAAGUCCUCGUACAGUAACUGCUUGCUCAUACUUUGUGUUCAGCUAGGAAAGCUUGGCUGGGGCUGGACAUGCAAGAUGGACUCAGCCUCUAAGGGCCUCAGGCCACUGAUCAUCAGUAGUCUGGUACCCUGAUAGUUCAUCAAUUGAGCUAUGAGGGAAAGGAAGCAGAAGCCACCAGUCCUUGAGGGCUGGGAUCAGGAUUUCCAGCCUAUUACUGGGUAGCAUUUUGUUGAUAAAGAUAAGUCAUAAGGCAUGCUUAGUUUCAAGGGGAGUGGAAGUGAGCCGCCUCUAGAGGCUGGGAAGCUAUCCAGGCCCAGAGCCAGAGAGGCAGGGAAUUAUGGCAGUCUAUAUUAGGAGACUCCCCUGUCAGCUCAGCCUCUGUCCUCCAUGACAUUUAAGAUGUAAACUAAUACAAAAGCACAUGUGCUGGCUACUUUUGUGUCAGUUUGGCUGAUGCUAAAGUUAUCUCAAAAGCGGGAACCUCAAUUAAGAAAAUACCUCCAUAAGAUUGGGCUAUAGGAAGGCCUGUGAAGCAUUUUCUUAAUUAGUGAUUGAUGGGGAAGGGCCCAGCCCAUUGUGUGUGGUGCUGUCCCUGGGCUGGUGGUCCUGGGUUCUACAGAAAGCAGGAUGAGCAAGCGAUGUGGAGCAAGCCAGUAAGCAGCACCCCUCCAUGGCCUCUACAUCAGCUCCUGUCUCCAGGUUUCUGCCCUGAGUAGGCAGUUUUCCUGUGCCAGCAGCCACUUCACAAAUAACCAGCAGCUGCUUUACAAAUAAGCACUCAGAGCCUUAAUAUUAAUUAUAAAUGAUUGGCCAAUAGCUCAGGCUUGUUACUAGCUAACUCUUACAAUUUAAAUUAACUCAUUUCUUACCUAUCCUCUGCCUCAUGGCUCAAGGCUUGUUACCUGCUUUCUCUGUGUCUGCUGGCGUCUCCUCCAACUCUACUAUUCUUCAUCCCAUCAUUCUCAGUUUGGCUUUCCCACCUAACUUUAUCCCGUUCAGCUAUUGACCAGUCAGCUUGUUUAUUAAACCAAUCAUAGCAACAUAUAUUCACACAGUGUGCAGAAUGAUUAUUCCACAGCAUUUCCCCCUUUUUAUCUAUUAAAAAGGUUUUAACUUUAACGUAGUAAAAUUAUAAACAACAAAAAGUUGUCAAGUAAGAAUUACAGUUACAAUAUCUAAUUCAUUUGUAAUUGGCAAAAUUAGUGAAAAUAUUUUGCUAUCUAUUUUAUCUUUGUGACUCUAACAUUUUAUACUUAAUUGUAACUAAGGAAAACUUUGACUAGCUAAUCUUCAACUCCAUCAAAGACCCCAGAAGGGUGAAAUGUUACCUAAUGAUAAAGACAUCAGACUGCCUGGUCAAUCAUCCAAAGUUCCUCUGCAGCAUUAGGGCAUCCAACUCUGAUCUACAGGCCCAGCAUAUCUGACAGACUUUUCUGAGAAGCAGGGAAUUCUGAAGGACUGUCCUACCUUGUCUUGGCAAAGUUUGGCAGUCAUUUUCCUCUGCAUCCUGCUGGUCUAGUUUGGACAGUAUAUUGUCAGCAACUGAGGCAAAGGCAUUUUCUUUGCACAGUGGCUAGCUUUUGCCAUAAAGAAAACAAACUCCAUGUGGAGUUUCUUUGAUGCCCAUCGCCUUCUCUGAAGUAGAUUGGUGCUGCCAGGAGCAGACAUGUCUCAUUGUCAUGAGCCCUGCUUGAGUUCCUGUUCUGACUUCCUUAGAUGAUCAACAGCGAUGUGAAAGUGAAAGCCAAAUAAGCCCUUUCCUCCUCAACUUUCUUUUGGUGUUUCAUCACAGCAGUAGAAACCCUAACUAAGACAACACCCUUAAUCCAGAGUCAAUCUUGAGCACACAUCAAUUUCCCAUAUAUUAACUACCUAAUCUUAGACAAAUUAACCAGUCUAUGUGAUUCCUGCCCCUCUUCUGGGUUUCUUCAUGAAUGAACCACCUAUGUAAUAAGAGCCCCUACUAGAGAUUUGCUGUAAUUUAAAUUAUGCAAGUAGCCACAAAAUACCUUAUGUUUUAUUCUCUGACUCACUUGUGCCCUCAAUGUUAUAUUUCUCAAAUUCAACCAUGCUGACACCUGUAGUCUUCAGUCCAUAUUUAUUGCUACACAGUUUGUUAUAUUCAGUCCAUUGUAGGAAUAUAAAACUUAACAAUUUAAUGAUGACCUUUUGGAUUCUUUCUGAGUUUUUACAACUAGAGUGCCUUCAUAAAAUUUUUUAAAGAUUUUUAUUAUUAAGAAUGUGUAUGUGAGCCACGUGGUGCACGCCUUUAGUCCCAGCACUCAGGAGGCAGAGGCAGGUGGAUCUCUGAGUUUGAGGCCAUCCUGGUCUACAGAGUGAGUUCCAGGACAGCCAGGGCUGUUACACAGAGAAACCCUGUCUCGAAAAACCAAAAAAGGAAAAAAAAAAAAAAAAGUAUGUGUGUGCAUUUAUACGUGUAAGUGCAAGUGCCUGAGAGUCCAGAAGAAGGUAUCAGAUUCCCUCGAGCUAGAGUUACAGGUGGUUGGGAGCUGCCCGACAUGGGCCCUAGGAGAACAGUAGUGUUGCAAGCAAUGAGCCACCUUGCCUGUUUCCUGGGGAGCAGGGGCCUCUGGUGUGUGUGGGAUGGGCUUCUCCUUUACGUAGAGUAAGCAAUGGAGUCCGUGGCUCCCACAGGGAGCAAAUAUUCAUCUCACAUGAAUUUGGCCCUGUGCACUCUCAGCUGCCCCCCUGAGACAUGCUUCUCAGCCCACAUCCUUGCCAAUACUUAAUACUGAGAAUCCUUGAGACAUCUUGCCAAUGGCUUGGGAGCAAAAAGGUUUUUCAUUAUGAAUUUAAUUUCAUCUCUCUGGUGACUAGGAAACUGGAGAAAGUUUGGUGUAACUAUUGGAUCUCAGAUUUCCCCUUCCAUCUGACCAUUUUCUUCUUCAGCCUGUUCUGUGGGCUCUUCUACGUUCUCAUUAGUCUGUGGGCAUUCUUAAUAUAGUUUGUGUCAUUUUUACAUUCAGCCACCAAUGGGUGGCUAAUCUCAUACCCCAGUUUGUGGUUUGUCUCUCCUUCCUUGCAGUCUGUCUCAUCUAUGAAUAGAAAUGAUUCACCUCACUGUAGUCAGAUUUAUCCAUAUUCUACUUAAACUUGUUACAUCUUAUUUCGGGUGUCCUAUCCAAAGGUUAGACAAACGAUAUCCUAAAGGGUUCUUCUGGUCCUUUGACUUUUGUAUUGUAUGGACUUUUUUUUUUUCUGUAUGCCUGUGCACGUUUGUGUACUUUGCACAUACAUAUGGAAGUCAGAGGUCAAUGUCAAGUGUCGUCCUCAAUCAUUUUCCAUGUUGUGGUGAUGAUGAUGAUGAUGAUGAUGAUGAUGAUGAUGAUGAUGAUGAUGGUGAUGGUGAUGGUGAUAUAGGACUGGUCUCCAGUCUUCAAUGUGGCUGAGAAUGACCUUGGAUUGUGGAUGCUCCCGCCUUCAUCUGUCAAGCAUUAGAACUACAGACAUGGGCACCAUGCCUGGUUUGCAUGAUCCUGGAGAUUGAAUCCAGGGCUCUGUGCAGACUAGAUGAGCACCCUGCCAAGUGAGCUACAUCCUCAGCAUUCCACACACUUUUGAAACAGGAUCCCUCAUUAACCCUGAAGCUCACCAAUUCAGAUAGAGUAGCUGGCCAGUAAACACCAGAGAUAUUCCUGCCUCUGUCUCCCUAGUACUAGAAUUACAGGCAAGUACCACGGUGCCCAGCUUCUUUUGUGGAUGCUGGGAAUGAACUCAGGUCCUUAUGUUCAUUUAACAAUCCUUUUACUGACUGUGCCAUCUCCACAGCCCCACUAUAUGUAUAUAUAUACCCUGGAUGGGCUGGAGAGAUGCCUCAGCUGUUAGAAGCACUUGCUGCUUUUGUAGAGGACCUGAAUUCAGAUCCCAGCACCCACAUCAAGUGGCUCACAACUGCCUAUAUCUGCAGCCCCAGGGGGAUUGUAAGCCCGAUUCUGUCCUCUGCAGGCAUACACAUACACAGAAACCUACAUGUAAAUAAGAGUAAAUCUUUUGCCGGGCGGUGGUGGCGCAUGCCUUUAAUCCCAGCACUCGGGAGGCAGAGGCAGGUGGAUCUCUGUGAGUUUGAGGCCAGCCUGGUCUCCAAAGAGAGUUCCAGGAAAGGCGCAAAGCUACACAGAGAAACCCUGUCUCGAAAAACAAAAAACAAAAAACAAAAAAACAAACAAAAAAAAAGAGUAAAUCUUUUAAAAGUUAAACAUAUUCCCUGUGAUUUAUUUCUUUGGUGUGGUACAUAGGGUUAAGCAUGUAUUCUGGGUUUUUCUUUGUUUCUUGCCUUUCUGCAGAGCUACAGUAGAUGUCUUCAUGGAUCAGUGCAAUGUCUUAUGCAUUUCCAUAUGCAUAAGAUCCAUCUCAGGGCUCUCUACUCUGGGCCUAUCAUUUGAGCUCUGAGCCAUACUAAAAACAAGUCUGGCUGUCUGCUGGGGUGAGCUUCCUGUGUUGAUUUCUCUAGCACCACAGUACCUUUUUGUGGUCCUUUCUCCAUAUACAUUUAAAAGCAAAAAUCCAGUUUCAUGAACUCUCCAUUUCCCUAAUGGGCUUGUAGAAAAUCUACAGCUCUACUGGGGGAGAGUUGAAAUUAUGAUUUCAUUAUCAACAAGAUAUUUUAUUUUUUUUUUAAAUUUUGGCUUUUUAUAUUUUCCCGGAGUGAAAUUCUGGCAAAACUUUCAUGAAUUAGCUUGAUUCCUAAGUUCCUUAUAUUUAUUAUUAAUAUAUAUAUAGAUUAUUGUUCCAGUUUAUGAAAACAUAAUCUGCAUUAUAAUAUUUAAUAUAUUAUAAUUAUAAUAAUUGAGCCAGCAAACUUAUGCAUUUCUUUUUCUUUUUCUUUUUUUUUGGUUUUUUGGAGGCAGAAUUUCUUUGUGUAGUUCUGCCUGACCUGUAUACCAGGCUAUCCUCAAACUUGGAGAUCCACCUGCCUCUCUACCUUGCUUCCUGAGUGCUGAGAUUAAAGGCAUGUGCCACCACCAUCUGGCUGUGUUUUCUUAUCCUAAGAAAUAUGUGUCAUUUUAUUGAUUAUGAAUAUUUUUUCCUUUCAAAUAAUUCAAUUUUUCAUUUCUCUUUUGCCUAAUUUAUUUUGUUUUACUUUGGAGUUGUAGAUCAAACUCCUGUGCUUUUAGCUGAGCACCCUCACACUGAGCCACACCCUCAGCUUCCAGAUUUCUUUCUAGGCCCACCACAUCAACAAGAAGUUCAGGUACCAUGGUAACAGCCACAAGAACAAGGCUCUUGACUUUAAAAAGGAAUUCAUCUUGAAUAUAGUUUUUCAGAUGUUAGGAGAGUGUUCUUUUUUCAAAGUGUUUUUUGCUUUUUAAAUCAGAGAUUAGCAAUAAGUCAUUUUAUCAAAUGUUUGUUUUUUUUUUUCCUGUAUCCACUCAUUGACUUACUUACUCUAUUGACUGUCAUGUAAAUCAUGGAUUCGGCCAUUUCUGGAUGCUUCUGUACGGUCACAGUUCAUUUCCAGUGCUUCCUUUAGCACCUGUAGAUAUACAUUGAUUCACACCACUGGCAUAUCAUUUUCUCUUCUCCUAGAGUCCUUGUUGGGGUUUCAUGAUUUUUUUUCCCAAAAAACCUCAAUAACAGCCUGUCUCCUCACAUUUGUAUAAACCCUCCUUGACCGGCACUGGCCCUGAAGUGGUUUGACAGUGUAAAAUUCUAAAACGUGAUGCCUUUGUUUGACCCAGAAAUUUCACAGCUGGGAAAUUUCUUUGUAUCCUGUAUCCUGCAAGCAUAUGAAAAUAUACAUACAAGAAUACUUAUUGUGUUGCCUGGCGUUGG